rnacentral:rRNA from 1 species
UACGUAGGGGGCUAGCGUUGUCCGGAAUCAUUGGGCGUAAAGAGCGCGUAGGCGGCCAGAUAAGUCCGGUGUGAAAGUCAAAGGCUCAACCUUUGAAUGCCGCUGGAAACUGUCUGGCUAGAGUCCGGGAGGGGCGAGUGGAAUUCCUGGUGUAGCGGUGAAAUGCGCAGAUAUCAGGAGGAACACCAAUGGCGAAGGCAGCUCGCUGGAACGGUACUGACGCGUGGAGAACGCGAAAGCGUGGGGAGCGAACAGG